rnacentral:rRNA from 1 species
UGGGGAAUAUUGGACAAUGGGCGAAAGCCUGAUCCAGCCAUGCCGCGUGAGUGAUGAAGGCCCUAGGGUUGUAAAGCUCUUUUGUGCGGGAAGAUAAUGACGGUACCGCAAGAAUAAGCCCCGGCUAACUUCGUGCCAGCAGCCGCGGUAAUACGAAGGGGGCUAGCGUUGCUCGGAAUCACUGGGCGUAAAGGGUGCGUAGGCGGGUUUCUAAGUCAGAGGUGAAAGCCUGGAGCUCAACUCCAGAACUGCCUUUGAUACUGGAAGUCUUGAGUUCGGGAGAGGUGAGUGGAACUGCGAGUGUAGAGGUGAAAUUCGUAGAUAUUCGCAAGAACACCAGUGGCGAAGGCGGCUCACUGGCCCGAUACUGACGCUGAGACACGAAAGCGUGGGGAGCAAACA